rnacentral:rRNA from 1 species
GGACGAACGCUGGCGGCGUGCUUAACACAUGCAAGUCGAGCGGUAAGGCCUUUCGGGGUACCCGAGCGGCGAACGGGUGAGUAACACGUGGGUGAUCUGCCCUGCACUUCGGGAUAAGCCUGGGAAACUGGGUCUAAUACCGGAUAUGACCUCCUAUCGCAUGGUGGGUGGUGGAAAGAUUUAUCGGUGCAGGAUGGGCCCGCGGCCUAUCAGCUUGUUGGUGGGGUAAUGGCCUACCAAGGCGACGACGGGUAGCCGACCUGAGAGGGUGACCGGCCACACUGGGACUGAGACACGGCCCAGACUCCUACGGGAGGCAGCAGUGGGGAAUAUUGCACAAUGGGCGAAAGCCUGAUGCAGCGACGCCGCGUGAGGGAUGACGGCCUUCGGGUUGUAAACCUCUUUCAGCAGGGACGAAGCGCAAGUGACGGUACCUGCAGAAGAAGCACCGGCUAACUACGUG